UACAGAGGUCCCAAGCGUUGUUCGGAUUCAUUGGGCGUAAAGGGUGCGUAGGUGGCGCGAUAAGUCGGGUGUGAAAUCUCGGAGCUUAACUCCGAAAUUGCAUUCGAUACUGCCGUGCUCGAGGACUGGAGAGGAGACUGGAAUUCAUGGUGUAGCAGUGAAAUGCGUAGAGAUCAUGAGGAAGACCAGUGGCGAAGGCGGGUCUCUGGGCCGAUACUGACGUGGAGGAGCGAAAGCGUGGGGAGCAAACAGG
rnacentral:rRNA from 1 species